AGCAAGAACGAUGAGAGUGUUUAAGACACGUGGAUGUUUGCUGGCAGCAAUCAGGAUUAUCUUUUUAACUGAGUUUUUGCUGACAAGUGUGAGAGGAGACGGCGCAGAUUCAGAAACAUUAGAUAUUAAGUACGUUUUGAUCGGAGGUGGGAUCGGCCUGUUGUUAGUUGCUGUAUUCAUUAUAACAAAGAUCUGCAUCAUUAGGAAGCAAGUGAGUCAAAACA